rnacentral:lncRNA from 1 species
GCGCCGCUGCGCCGCCCAUCAAGAACAAGGAGUAAGAGAGUUACCUCCUUAAGGUUUAACAACACACAACCUAUACUACACAAGGAGAAAUUGAGGUGGGUGUAAAAAACCCGGGUGUGAUCUAUGCCAUCUUUUGAAUUGUGGUCUAUGCCAUCUUUCUCCGGGAAAAACCCUGCUCUUGGGUCAAUUCCUACCUUGUAUUUCUAUAUUUUAUGUGUUCUUAAACUCUAAGUUAGUGACCCUCUUUUCAGAGUGUCUCUAGCUAAGUUUGUAUGGAGACGAGUAGGGAGACACAACAACCAAUGCAAGCAAAAUAAAAGUCUAAAUGGAAGAGAGCAAAAAAUAAAAAGA